UACGAAGGGGGCUAGCGUUGCUCGGAAUCACUGGGCGUAAAGCGCACGUAGGCGGGUCGUUAAGUCGGGGGUGAAAUCCUGGAGCUCAACUCCAGAACUGCCUUCGAUACUGGCGACCUUGAGUCCGGGAGAGGUGAGUGGUACUCCGAGUGUAGAGGUGAAAUUCGUAGAUAUUCGGAAGAACACCAGUGGCGAAGGCGGCUCACUGGCCCGGUACUGACGCUGAGGUGCGAAAGCGUGGGGAGCAAAACGG
rnacentral:rRNA from 1 species